rnacentral:rRNA from 1 species
UGACAUGGGGGCACCUGNAUCAGUCAUGCCGCGUGAGUGAAGAAGGCUUCGGGUUGUAAAGCUCUUUUGUCAGGGAAGAAACACCGGCUCUAACACAGUCCGGGAAUGACGGUACCUGAAGAAUAAGCACCGGCUAACUACGUGCCAGCAGCCGCGGUAAUACGUAGGGUGCGAGCGUUAAUCGGAAUUACUGGGCGUAAAGCGUGCGCAGGCGGUUAUACAAGACAGGCGUGAAAUCCCCGGGCUUAACCUGGGAAUGGCGCCUGUGACUGUAUAGUCAGAGUGUGUCAGAGGGGGGUAGAAUUCCACGUGUAGCAGUGAAAUGCGUAGAUAUGUGGAGGAAUACCAAUGGCGAAGGCAGCCCCCUGGGAUAACACUGACGCUCAUGCACGAAAGCGUGGGGAGCAAACAGGAUUAGAUACCCUGGUAGUCCACGCCCUAAACGAUGCUGACUAGUUGUUCGGGAUUUACAUCCUGAGUAAUGUAGCUAACGCGUGAAGUCAGCCGACUGGGGAGUACGGUCGCAAGAUUAAAACUCAAAGGAAUUGACGGGGACCCGCACAAGCGGUGGAUGAUGUGGAUUAAUUCGAUGCAACGCGAAAAACCUUAGCUACCCUUGACAUGUCACUAACGAAGUAGAGAUACAUUAGGUGCUCGUAAGAGAAUGUGAACACAGGUGCUGCAUGGCUGUCGUCAG